rnacentral:rRNA from 1 species
AUUGAACGCUGGCGGCAUGCUUUACACAUGCCAGUCGAACGGCAGCGCGGGCUUCGGCCUGGCGGCGAGUGGCGAACGGGUGAGUAAUGCAUCGGAACGUGCCCAGUAGUGGGGGAUAGCCCGGCGAAAGCCGGAUUAAUACCGCAUACGACCUGAGGGUGAAAGCGGGGGACCGAAAGGCCUCGCGCUAUUGGAGCGGCCGAUGUCGGAUUAGCUAGUUGGUGGGGUAAAGGCUUACCAAGGCGACGAUCCGUAGCUGGUCUGAGAGGACGACCAGCCACACGGGGACUGAGACACGGCCCAGACUCCUACGGGAGGCAGCAGUGGGGAAUGUUGGACAAUGGGGGCAACCCUGAUCCAGCCAUGCCGCGUGCGGGAAGAAGGCCUUCGGGUUGUAAACCGCUUUUGUUCGGGAAGAAAUCCUCUGGGCUAAUACCCCGGGGGGAUGACGGUACCGGAAGAAUAAGCACCGGCUAACUACGUG